AUUUUUUGUGCAAAGUUUAAUUGAAUUUUCCUAACAGGUGGAUAUGUAGAUGGAGCUUGCGUCGAAACCGCCAAAACUUGGGAAAAGCGUCUGCUUGUUCCACUGACACACGUUAACAUGUACAACAAAUAACGUAUCAAAAAUGUGUAUUAUAUGACCGUUUUAUUAGACAAAAACCUGUUACUCAAUAAUUGGUUCUAGGUUGUACCUAAUAAUAUUGUUCAGAUGGAUUUGUGUAUAACUUUUAGUUGCAAUGGUAAGGUGAAUAGCAAUGAUUGGGAAUUAAAUCGAGAAAGUUUAUUCUUGUCUGGAGAAGUGGACAAUGUUCUUUACCCGAAAGAUGAAAAUUCAUUAGCAGAUAUUGAUGUGCAACUGUUUGAUUGCAAUGUGCCUGCAUCAACAGGCAUAUUGGAUUUAAAACAUUUCAUCAAAUGCAUGGUUAUGCAAUUGAAGAUAUUAGGCAGUUAUGAGACUUAUGAUCAGGUAUUAAGUUCUAAGGCAAAUGAUAUGGAUUUUUAUUAUGUAAGAUGUCUUGUUUGCAAAUUUGUUUUAUACAUUCGGAGAUAUUUAAAUAGUAUAAAAUGGGAUGUUCAAUCUUUGCAAAUUAUAAACGAAAACAUUGAAGAAGAAUUUAAUAUGUUAUUUACUACCAUAAAACAUUUCCUUAGUAGAUUAAGAAAUGUUCCAGAUGCCACAUUUCAUUAUGCACCUUCUAAAUUAGGCAACCAGUGCAAUCAACCAGAGUAUCAUAUGUAUCAUAUGCACAUUGAAUUGCGAUGGUUUUUUAUCUCACUGGUAUACACACGUUCUUUGUAUCACCAAUAUUCCAUGGAGAGUCAGCUGGAAGAACUUGAAAAUGUUCAGGCAAUAAUCAUCAAUGAUCUCAUUUAUAUAUCAUUGAAGAUAUUUGAAACGAUGCCUUUAAUAAAUAUACAACAAAAAACACCAUAUAAUUGUACUUGCAUUCGUGAGCUAUGGCUGAUGCUCCAAAUAUUCAUUGAUACUUUAUCUGACAGAAUGAAAUCAAAGACAUUUUGGGACUAUGUAAACGAUAGUGUUACUGGAUUAUUAAAUAGGAAAGCAUCUGAUAGCAGAGAAGAAUCUACAUGCUACAAUUUGGUACCUUGUAAGAACACUGAAUUGUUUUGUCUAUGGAUUAUUUAUAAUCUUUCACUUUUAUAUGGAUAUAGUAGCGAUGGUUUAUAUUUGGGCUCCAAUUGUUCAAGGAUUAGGCCUAAUUACGAGCAGCUAGAAAAGAUCUUGAAAACAUAUAUUUCCAAAGGUGGGAAGGAUGGUGAACGUGAUGAAAUUGAUGAAGAGUUACGUAUCAUGAUUCCCUUGUUAAAUACUAUAGUCACAAAUUGGUGGAAAACACGAGUUUCUAUAAUUUCGCUUCUUUGGGACUGCUUUCAUAAAAGAUUAGAUGAACCAUUUUUAUUACAAACAUCUGGUCCUUGGACUUUAUCAGUUGAAAAGAAAACUGCCAUGGAUAUACUGAAGCAAGUAAGGGAUAGACUAAAUAACACUGAAUAUGUUAAAGAAUCUAGUUAUGGAAUGUUUUUACAUUUUCUUGGAACAUUCUUGCAAAUAAAUUAUAGUAGCAGCGAUACGAAACAUUGGAACCAGAUUAAAGGUCGGAUCUACUCUAAAUUUUCUAAAAGCAAAGUGGAAGAAUUUUCCGUGACAGGUUUAUACAAUUUCAUUUCCCUUUUUUUAACGUUAGCAGUUACUGCGGACACUACAAAUGUAUGUUCGGUGAUGUUAGAUCUCCUACCACUGACGAAGGAAUACAAUAACGAGAAUAGUAAAAAAUAUAGCUUAAUUUGGAAGGGAAAAUUAGUUAUUCUUCUUUUGUAUAGCGAGCUUAAAAUCAAUUUUACAAGUAUAGCAUCUUGUUACAUUGAUACGGUAAAUACAAUAAGUUGUCGUAAGGAUGAAACUUCCCGCGCGAUGAUGAUCAAUUUUGUGGAUGUAUUUAGUACAAUUUUAUCAGCCAGUACCAUAGAGUUAGAAGAACACUUGUUGCUUGGUGGUUGGAUAGAUAGAUACUUGUCAGAAUGUUCAAAUAAAAUGAUGGGAACAUUGAUAAGGGUGCUUGUUAAUAUUUUUAAAAAAUGUUUUAACUCGUUAAAUUCAGAUGGAGCAGGAAAAUUGUUGGACGCUUUAUGGUGUUAUGUCACGUGUAGAGUACGACAGCUUGUUUUUGAUCCUCUACUUACGGGGGACCAUUACCGGGAUAUCUCACAACUUGCAGUCUUAUUUACUUUGGAUGCAUUGAAGAAUUCAAUAAUGGCAAAAAAAUACAAACACUCAGCUAAGUCUUUGUUUCAGCAUUUUGCGUCUUCCGUGGUUGUUAAAGAUAUUAGAAUUACAAGACAUUACUUAGUGUUGAUACUCGAAGAAGAGCAGGCAGUUGAAACUCUGAAGAAAGAAAUAAAAAAUUUUGAUACGUUACUUAUACAGGCUUGGGUGAAAUGCUCCAUCAUUGCUCACAAUACAAACGAAGAUGAAAUGAAAAUUAUACAGAAUUAUAUAAUCUCACUGAAUGAAAUACAACAAAUGUUUGUAAUGUAUGAGGAUAUGCAAGAAUUUCAAAACAGCAAGGAGCCCAUUUUAGUCUUCAUGAUGUAUUCUAUGAAAAAACGAAACACUCUAAAGUCUGAACAAGAACGGAUUCAAUAUGACACAAAAUGGAGAUCGUAUUUUUCCCAUAUGGAAAAAUGGGUUCUUUCGCCAAUCACUGAAGAAAGUAAAGACUCGGAAUUAGCUUUCUGGAUAUAUAGAUGCGUUGGAACAUUAAUACUUUGUACCUCGACAAUGCUUUAUACUAAAAAUCAACCGAAUAACAUGUUCAAAAUGUUACUGAAUAAGACUAUUCUUUCAUCUGAUCAACCGUUUUUAAAAAAUUUUGGGAAAAAAACAUUUUCCAUGAUACUUUUGGGCAUCGAGGCUCUUAAUGUUAAAAACGACAUAUCACUUCAUAUACUGAUAAAAGAUCUUUUUGAUCAAUAUAUGCCACUCUUAAUAACUUCAAUUAAUAAUACGAAUAAUUUUAAAGUGUCUGAUUCAUUAUCAAAAUGUUUUAAAGAUGCAAAAGCAGAUUUCAUACAUUUAGUGUUUGAAAUCUUGAUGACGAACUUCUUUACAAUAUCGAGCGAUAACAUGUUACAUAAACAUUUCUAUUUGGUAAUGAUAUUUCUCCAAAAUCUGCUCAAAGGAGGAAAAGAUUACGCCAGUCAUGUAAUAGAAUAUAUUAUUUUAAUUUGUACACCUUAUAUCAUUGGAGGCUACAUAAAAGUUCAUGAUUACCAUCCACAUAAACAACACACUUUGGAGUUCAUGAGAAAUAUUGUCAGAAAUCCGUAUUACAAAGAAAGCCAUACUUUACAGGAAAAGCUUAACACUGCGAUAUUCAACACCAUCCAAAAAUUAAUUACAACAAAUCAGCAUAACACUUUUGAAUUUUUGCAAUCAAUUUUAUCGGUGAAGAUCGAGAUAAUACAAUUUUUAUCGCCAAAAAUUGAACGUACCUUAAUUGAUUUGGAGAGGAAUCGUCGCCCGAACGCGGCAUCUUUGAGAUAUUCCUGGAAUCAACUACUAAAUGCUAUGAAAAACAUAAAAGCGGAUCAGUAGUAAGUUUAAAAAAAUUUAUUAAUAAAUAAUCGACAGUACCAUGAAGAUACUUCUCCAUAUUAAGCUACAAAUCCAACUCCAAACGAUUUACAGCUGCAUAUAGACUGUCCACAUGCCGUUGAAGAACAGCAUUUUGAGCCUCGUAAUCCGACGUAGCUUUUCUUAAUUGUCUUAAUUCCGCUUCGCAUGCUGAAGACACAGAAGUUCAUUUGUAAAUAUUCAUUGAAGCACAGGCGAAUUUGUAAAUCUUUUCAAAAUAUAUUUUACACACCUUUAUUGUGAUCUAAGAAUUCUUCUGUAAAAAUGGGAAUAUCAAAGCCUGUGAAAUCAUUGUCUUUUUCCUGUUGAAUAUCCUAGCAGAAAGAGAUACAUUAAAAUAAACAGAAAACCAAGUAUAAAACGUUA